UAUGUACUUCCUCCGUCUGGAAAUACUUGUCGAAGAAAUGGACGUAUCUAGAUGUAUUUUAGUGUUAGAUACAUCCAUUUUUAGUCAUUUCUAUGACAAGUAUUUCUGAACGGAGGAAGUAUCCU
rfam:Triticum aestivum genome assembly, contig: Triticum_aestivum_CS42_TGACv1_scaffold_404157_5BL